UACGUAGGGUGCGAGCGUUAUUCGGAAUCACUGGGCUUACAGGGUGCGUAGGCGGCUCAACAAGUCAGGUGUGAAAGCCCCCGGCUCAACCGGGGAACUGCGCUUGAAACUGUUAGGCUCGAGUCAGCUAGAGGUACACGGAACUUCCAGUGGAGCGGUGAAAAGUGUUGAUAUUGGAAGGAACACCGGAGGCGAAAGCGGUGUACUGGGGCUGGUCUGACGCUGAGGCACGAAAGCCAGGGGAGCGAACGGG
rnacentral:rRNA from 1 species